GUGGGGAAUAUUGGACAAUGGGCGAAAGCCUGAUCCAGCAAUGCCGCGUGAGUGAUGAAGGCCCUAGGGUUGUAAAGCUCUUUUACCCGGGAUGAUAAUGACAGUACCGGGAGAAUAAGCUCCGGCUAACUCCGCGCCAGCAGCCGCGGUAAUACGGAGGGAGCUAGCGUUGUUCGGAAUUACUGGGCGUAAAGCGCGCGUAGGCGGUUUUCCAAGUCAGGGGUGAAAGCCCGGGGCUCAACCCCGGAAUAGCCCUUGAAACUGGAAGACUAGAAUCUUGGAGAGGUCAGUGGAAUUCCGAGUGUAGAGGUGAAAUUCGUAGAUAUUCGGAAGAACGCCAGUGGCGAAGGCGACUGACUGGACAAGUAUUGACGCUGAGGUGCGAAAGCGUGGGGAGCAAACAGGAUUAGAUACCCUAGUAGUCC
rnacentral:rRNA from 1 species